UGGACCCCAGAGGAGGCGCCGCACACGCAUCCAACAGCACCGACGCAGACGCUGUCACCGCGAGCGUAGAGAAACACAGAAAUACGUCGGGACCCGGAUAUUCACUGUUAAAUGGUUCAAGCAACGACACUUCUCUUUCACAAAACAGAUCCUCCACGACUGGAUCUGGAAUCACCAUAGCGGUGGCCAGUAGCAUCUCAGUCGCCAUUGCGGCGCUUCUCGGAAUCGGCCUCCUUCUUCAUAAAAUG